rnacentral:rRNA from 1 species
ACUCCUACGGGAGGCAGCAGUGGGGAAUAUUGCACAAUGGGGGAAACCCUGAUGCAGCCAUGCCGCGUGUGUGAAGAAGGCCUUCGGGUUGUAAAGCACUUUCAGUAGGGAGGAAGGUAGUGUAGUUAACACCUGCACUAUUUGACGUUACCUACAGAAGAAGCACCGGCUAACUCCGUGCCAGCAGCCGCGGUAAUACGGAGGGUGCGAGCGUUAAUCGGAAUUACUGGGCGUAAAGCGCAUGCAGGCGGCCUGUUAAGUCAGAUGUGAAAGCCCGGGGCUUAACCGUCGGAAUUGCAUUUGAAACUGGCAGGCUAGAGUCUUGUAGAGGGGUUAGAAUUUCGAGGUGUAGCGGUGAAAUGCGUAGAGAUCUGAAGGAAUACCGAGUGGCGAAGGCGGCCCCUGGACAAAGACUGACGCUCAGAUGCGAAAGCGUGGGAGCAAACAGGAUUAGAUACCCCGUGGUAGCGACUA